GUUUCUGGUACGUUACUUUUUUGUUUCAAUAAACUUUUCGUCUUCUUCUCUUCCUUAUUAACAAGCUUCUCCUUUGAAGUCUCAAGGGCUCUUCCAUCUCGAGUUCUGCUUCUCAUGCCGUCUAAGACCUCUCUCGAUGCCGCUGCAUCUCUGACUCCACCACUGCGCCUCCGACUACUCUACGCUGCGCCUCCUCCUUUGCGAGCGGCUCCAUAUCUCCUCCUCGGCCUCAGUAUCAUACGCGACUCCUAAUUUCUUUUGCUUCUCUUUCUGUCGCCGGCAAUCGUGGCUAAUCCUCUUGGAUCUGCUCUGAGGGAAGUUAUCGACAGAUAUAGUGAAUGGGAGUAUUAAAUCACAGAUGAAUGGACAAUACUAUGGAUCCUGAACUCAUGUUUUUACCGUUGGAAAGAUGAUUUUGAGGAUGGAUCACAACGGCUUCAGCCCCAAAACGAGAUUCAGCCUCGCUGCUUCUUCUCUUGCUGUAGCGACGUUGGUUGUCCCCAUCUUCUUCCCGACUUGGCCAACGAGAAUGAGAACAGUAACAGAGGCUCAUCAGAUCGUGAUCUGAUUUCUGUCGGCAUGCGGUUGGAUCCUAACGGUAAAAUCGCUGUGGAAUGGGACCCCGUUGGUGCAUUUUACUUUUCAGUGCCUCAGAUACUUUAAAGUUUUGAAUCUUUGAACUGAUUUUCUGGAGGGGAUUUGUUUGACUAAUAUGUAUGCUUUGUAUAAACUAGCUGAUGCAGAUGCAUGUUGAAUUUAAUGAAUUUGGUGGAAUCUCAAUGUUGGAUGCAACUCUUGCUGGGGACAAUGAAACCGUCUUGGACGCUGUAGAAUGUUAUUGAAGCACUUUAGGAGACUAUACUUUUUGAUUCUACAACAAAUUGUCCGAGUGUUUUUUUUUACGCUCAAGCCAACCAUCUAUGAUGAGCACCAAUAACAUUGUGCCUCUUAAACAACAAAAAUGAGAGCAUUCUCCUUUUUUAUAUAUCAAAGCUUAUUUUUCCUAUUUGAAUUUGUG